UACACUCCUACGGGAGGCAGCAGUGGGGAAUUUUGGACAAUGGGGGCAACCCUGAUCCAGCAAUGCCGCGUGAGUGAAGAAGGCCUUCGGGUUGUAAAGCUCUUUUGUCAGGGAAGAAACGGUGGUGGCGAAUAACUACUACUAAUGACGGUACCUGAAGAAUAAGCACCGGCUAACUACGUGCCAGCAGCCGCGGUAAUACGUAGGGUGCAAGCGUUAAUCGGAAUUACUGGGCGUAAAGCGUGCGCAGGCGGUUGUGUAAGUCAGAUGUGAAAUCCCCGGGCUCAACCUGGGAAUUGCAUUUGAGACUGCACGGCUAGAGUGUGUCAGAGGGGGGUAGAAUUCCACGUGUAGCAGUGAAAUGCGUAGAUAUGUGGAGGAAUACCGAUGGCGAAGGCAGCCCCCUGGGAUAACACUGACGCUCAUGCACGAAAGCGUGGGGAGCAAACAGGAUUAGAUACCCCUGUAGUCCCAUGAU
rnacentral:rRNA from 1 species